rnacentral:rRNA from 2 species
GAUGAACGCUGGCGGCGUGCCUAAUACAUGCAAGUCGAGCGAACAGACAAGGAGCUUGCUCCUUUGACGUUAGCGGCGGGCGGGUGAGUAACACGUGGGUAACCUACCUAUAAGACUGGGAUAACUUCGGGAAACCGGAGCUAAUACCGGAUAAUAUUUCGAACCGCAUGGUUCGAUAGUGAAAGAUGGUUUUGCUAUCACUUAUAGAUGGACCCGCGCCGUAUUAGCUAGUUGGUAAGGUAACGGCUUACCAAGGCGACGAUACGUAGCCGACCUGAGAGGGUGAUCGGCCACACUGGAACUGAGACACGGUCCAGACUCCUACGGGAGGCAGCAGUAGGGAAUCUUCCGCAAUGGGCGAAAGCCUGACGGAGCAACGCCGCGUGAGUGAUGAAGGUCUUCGGAUCGUAAAACUCUGUUAUUAGGGAAGAACAUACGUGUAAGUAACUAUGCACGUCUUGACGGUACCUAAUCAGAAAGCCACGGCUAACUACGUGCCAGCAGCCGCGGUAAUACGUAGGUGGCAAGCGUUAUCCGGAAUUAUUGGGCGUAAAGCGCGCGUAGGCGGUUUUUUAGUCUGAUGUGAAAGCCCACGGCUCAACCGUGGAGGGUCAUUGGAAACUGUAAAACUUGAGUGCAGAAGAGGAAGGUGGAAUUCCAUGUGUAGCGGUGAAAUGCGCAGAGAUAUGGAGGAACACCAGUGGCGAAGGCGACUUUCUGGUCUGUAACUGACGCUGAUGUGCGAAAGCGUGGGGAUCAAACAGGAUUAGAUACCCUGGUAGUCCACGCCGUAAACGAUGAGUGCUAAGUGUUAGGGGGUUUCCGCCCCUUAGUGCUGCAGCUAACGCAUUAAGCACUCCGCCUGGGGAGUACGACCGCAAGGUUGAAACUCAAAGGAAUUGACGGGGGCCCGCACAAGCGGUGGAGCAUGUGGUUUAAUUCGAAGCAACGCGAAGAACCUUACCAAAUCUUGACAUCCUUUGACAACUCUAGAGAUAGAGCCUUCCCCUUCGGGGGACAAAGUGACAGGUGGUGCAUGGUUGUCGUCAGCUCGUGUCGUGAGAUGUUGGGUUAAGUCCCGCAACGAGCGCAACCCUUAAGCUUAGUUGCCAUCAUUAAGUUGGGCACUCUAAGUUGACUGCCGGUGACAAACCGGAGGAAGGUGGGGAUGACGUCAAAUCAUCAUGCCCCUUAUGAUUUGGGCUACACACGUGCUACAAUGGACAAUACAAAGGGCAGCGAAACCGCGAGGUCAAGCAAAUCCCAUAAAGUUGUUCUCAGUUCGGAUUGUAGUCUGCAACUCGACUACAUGAAGCUGGAAUCGCUAGUAAUCGUAGAUCAGCAUGCUACGGUGAAUACGUUCCCGGGUCU